UACGGAGGAUGCAAGCGUUAUCCGGAUUCAUUGGGUUUAAAGGGUACGUAGGCGGCCUGAUAAGUCAGUGGUGAAAGUUUUGGGCUUAACCUGAAAAUUGCCAUUGAUACUGUCGGGCUUGAGUACAGUUGAGGUAGGCGGAAUGUGUAGUGUAGCGGUGAAAUGCUUAGAUAUUACACAGAACUCCGAUUGCGAAGGCAGCUUACUAAACUGUUACUGACGCUGAGGUACGAAAGCGUGGGGAGCGAACAGG
rnacentral:rRNA from 1 species